rnacentral:ncRNA from 1 species
UACUUGGUUGAUCCUGCCAAGGAAGCACACUUAGGUCAUAGAUUAAGCCAUGCAAGUGUUAGUUCAGGUAACGAAACUGCGAAUAGCUCAUUAAUACGCUCAGAAUCUAUUUGGCGGCGACCAACAGGUCUUAAAUGGAUAGCAGCAGCAACUCUGGUGCUAAUACAUGCGAUUGUUUCUCCAGAUGUGAAUUAUGGAGGAAAAGUUGACCUCAUCAGAGGCACGCCAUUCGACUGAGUGACCUAUCAGCUUGUACUUAGGGUCUUUACCUAGGUAGGCUAUCACGGGUAACGGGCGGUUACCGUCGGACUGCCGGAGAAGGCGCCUGAGAGAUAGGGACUAUAUCCACGGGUAGCAGCAGGCGCGAAACUUUCCCACUCGAGACUUUCGGAGGAGG